UGGGGCGUCGCCAAGUGGUAAGGCACCGGUUUUUGGAGUCGGCAUUCGUAGGUUCGAAUCCUACCGCCCCAGCCA
rnacentral:tRNA from 1 species